CCUACGGGAGGCAGCAGUAGGAAUCUUGGACAAUGGGGGAAACCCUGAUCCAGCCAUGCCGCGUGAGUGAAGAAGGCCUUAGGGUCGUAAAGCUCUUUCGCCUGUGAUGAUAAUGACAGUAGCAGGUAAAGAAACCCCGGCUAACUCCGUGCCAGCAGCCGCGGUAAUACGGAGGGGGUUAGCGUUGUUCGGAAUUACUGGGCGUAAAGCGCGCGUAGGCGGAUUGGAAAGUUGGGGGUGAAAUCCCGGGGCUCAACCCCGGAACUGCCUCCAAAACUGCCAGUCUAGAGUUCGAGAGAGGUGAGUGGAACUCCAAGUGUAGAGGUGAAAUUCGUAGAUAUUUGGAAGAACACCAGUGGCGAAGGCGGCUCACUGGCUCGAUACUGACGCUGAGGUGCGAAAGUGUGGGGAGCAAACAGGAUUAGAUACCCUGGUAGUCCACACCGUAAACGAUGAAUGCCAGUCGUCGGGUAGUAUACUAUUCGGUGACNCACCUGACCGC
rnacentral:rRNA from 1 species